ensembl:lncRNA
CCCCCCCCCCCCCCCCCCCCCCCCCCCCCCCCCCCCCCCCCCCCCCCCCCCCCCCCCCCCCCAACUGGGCUGGGCUGAACUGAGCUGAGCUGAGCUGAGCUAAACUGGGCUGGGCUGGGCUGGGCUGGCACUGGGUACCAGGGGUGCUGGGGGCUGCAGGAUGAGCUGGCAAGGAAGGACAAACAGCCGCUGCUGAAGCCACACUGGUGCAGCUGCAGCAGGGGCUCUGCAGGCAAAUGCAGCUGAUGCAUUUCCCCGUGCAGGGUGAGGGUGAUAAUUUGUAUUUGGAUGAAGGACAGUGAACCCCUUUGGGCCCAGCCUGUCUGUGGCUGUGCAAGGGGGGCUGUGGGAACUGCCCCCCACUCCUGGGCGUGGCUGGGAGCACCCCUGACACCUCAUGGGGUGAUGAUGGAUAUUUCAUGAUGGAUAAAUGACAGAGCAGGGAUCACACCUCGCAUCAGAGCUCUGCCUCUAAACCCUUUUUGUGUCAGCAGUGGUGACACCUCAGCAGACCAUAACCUCAGCCAGACCCUGCUGAGGCCUGCUUGCCUGUCGUGCUGCCUUGGAGCUGCACAGCCCUGCUCCUCCCUGCCAGGGCCGUUCCUGAGGAAGGGACUCGGGACAGGGCUCGUGGCUCUGCUGUGAGUGUGCAGUAUCAGUGUGGCUGUGGCAGGCAGGCAGCACAGAGCUGCCAGCCAGCCCCCAGGCAUAAAUCAAUCCCCCCGGGGAUUUACCGGCUGCAGCUUACAGCCUUGGAAAGGGAAAGCUGUGCUCAAGCAUCAGAGCUGGGUUCCGCCUGGGGAGAUAAGCACAGGGGACGAGGGAGGGACACAGCCCUGGCAGUGCCCUCUCUCCCCGGACAAUAUUCCUGGGAUUCCAGGGAUGAGGAAUCGGGAUCAGGAUUGCCUGCCCAGCCCCCAGGGCAGCUCCUUUAGCCCUGAAGGGCUCUGUGGGCUGAGUUCUGGUCCCUCAGGGUUCUGGUGCUCAGGGUCCUGGUCCCUCAGGGUUCUGGUCCCUCAGGGUCCUGGUCCCUCAGGGUCGUGGUCCCUCAGGGUCCUGGUCCCUCAGGGUUCUGGUCCCUCAGGGUUCUGGUCCCUCAGGGUCCUGGUACCUCAGGGUUCUGGUCCCUCAGGGUUCUGGUGCUCAGGGUCCUGGUGCUGUGGUUCUGAGCAGGUCCUGCAGGGCUGUUCACUCCCAGAGUGUCCCUGCCCAGAGCCCCCACCCCACAGGUGCCCCUGGCAGUGCUGCUGCCUUUGCCUGGUGGCCUGGCAGCUUUGGGGGGCUGGGGGAUGCUCUGUUUGUGCUGAGCCAGGAGCCUGCCAGCAGGCUGGGAUCAGUCUGGGGAUGUCCCCCAGAGCUCUGGGGUGUCCUGGGGAGCUGCAAGUCUCAUUUCCUAGCGCUGGCAGCAGCUCUGCUCCCAGCUCCAGGCUGGAGUGCGGGGCCGCAGGGAGGCCGAGGUGAGGCCUGUUUGAGCUGUCACCGGGCAACAGCCAAACACUGCUUCGGGCAGGAACUGUAGAACAGCUCAGCGUCAGGGUGACGGGGCAGGGGGAAGGGGAGCUGCCGCUGCCCCAGGGAGCCCCAUAAAACCCUCAGUGAAACCCUCUCUGCAAGCCAAGCUGUGCAGCGCAGCUCGGAGCAACCAGCAAACUGUGCCAGCUGGGCCACAGCGGCACUGGGGCGGUCACCUCUGUUAUAAAUGAGAAAUAAAGUCUCGAUAUUCAGCAAAAUUUAGAUCGGUUUAUUGUAUACAGGCAGAACAAGCAGCGCUGGGGAAACGUGAGGGGUCACAGCCCACUCCAACGCUUCCAACUUGGUUUGCAGCUCCCUUUUUAUAGUCUGGUUUUCCUUGUAGUAAUCAAUAAUUGUUAUUGUUUUGUUGUAGUAAUUCUGCUAGGUAAGCAGAGUUGGUCAAAGAAACUUCCAAACUUCAGCGCUGGGGAAACGUGAGGGGUCACAGCCCACUCCAACGCUUCCAACUUGGUUUGCAGCUCCCUUUUUAUAGUCUGGUUUUCCUUGUAGUAAUCAAUAAUUGUUAUUGUUUUGUUGUAGUAAUUCUGCUAGGUAAGCAGAGUUGGUCAAAGAAACUUCCAAACUUUGUGGGACAGCUCUUGGGACAAUUGGUCAUGUAACCAUCUGGUCUUGGUAGAUAAAAAACAGAAGAAGAGGGAAGUCUGAUCUUUAGCAGAUAGUUUGUGAUUGAUCACUCCUGGCACAACCCCUCAGAGUCUCUGAGCAGCAAUCUGGGUCUCUGGCACCAAAGAAACUGCUAGGAUCUAGUCAGUGGUGUCUUAUUUUUGGGGUUGUCCUUGAAAUCCCUGGCAGAAGACAGAGAAAGCAGUGGGGCAGGCUUUGGGGCAGGCUUUAGGACAGGUCUUAGGGUAGGCUUUAGGGCAGGCUGUGGCUGGGUACCUGUCUGACCCAGCCCCACCACCAGGUCUCCAGGCUCAGUCUCUAAAAUGAAAGAUGGAGAUGGAGAGAUGGAGAUGAAUCAAGGGGUUUUGCAUAAAGCAGGACCUAAACUGGCACCUGAGCACUCAGCCAUCCUGCACCCUGUCCCUGUGGCAGGGCAGGACUCCGAGUGUUUGCUGCCCCCAGAUUCACUGGGAAAUGGCCAGAGCAGGGCAGGCUGUGUGAUAAACACAGAGCUUGUGAAUGAAGGCACUGCUCUGGCUCUGUGCUGGAGCUGGGACUGGCUCCCAGGCAGAUGGGCUGCAGCAUUAGGUGGGAUGGGAGGGAUGGGGCUGUGUCUGACAGGCAGCAUGAGGUCACUCUCUGAGUCCCCUCUGGGUGAGAUAUAUCAACAGGCUGCCUUUGCCUUGGAUAGAGUCAUUCAUUUUUUCAAAUCUGCUUGUGCUGCUUCCCCUUCCCUCUUAACCCUUUCUCAGCCUUUGCCUUUCCUCAUUGUUUCAGCCAUAGAUGACAAAAAAAGUGUGAACUACAUCAAAUAAUGACAUUUAACAUAGAGUCACCUGUUUCUUUCAGUGGCCAACACACUCUAGGAUCACACACUGGCGUCCCCUGCAGCCAGCUCCCACAGCCAUCUCUAUAAAUCCAUAAAACAUAAAUAAUUCUCCUUCAUUACCUGCCUUAUCCCCUUGGACUGUGAGCCAUGUAGGUCUUACAGAGGGAUUAAAUCUGCAGUGGGAUGCUGAGGAUUCAGAAGAAAAGGUGGCAUUUAGGGCACAUUUCAGCACAGCUGCUGGAAGAGCUGUGAGCCAAGGCUGACGUGCCCACAGCACACAGACUGCCCUGGCUCCAGGUUCUAUUCCCAUGAGCCACAAUGACAGAAAGGUGACAGGAAGGGUCUGGGCACUGACCACAGGCACUGCGGAUUUAUUCUGUGACUGCACAGAGCCUGCACCUCCCCUGCUCUGCCUUUCCUGCCUGUGGUUAAGGAGAGAGCAAGAGAAGGAGAAAGGAAAUGAGCACAACAGAGAACUUGACAUAAAAGUGUUUUAUAUCAUCUCCUAUAAAACAAGCCAUAAAUCCCUGCCCUCCUGCUCCACCCCUCCACAUGGUUUUCAUUUUAGAGGCUGGCUGGAGAGCAGGGAAGUGGAGGGUACAAAGAACAUACUCUUGGUGGGAGAGGUUCCCCUUCCCUGCAGGUUCCUACUCACACCUUGUCCCUGUGCCUGCAGCACAGCAUCCUGCUCUGCUGAGUGACCACAGCCUGGAGCAAGGCACAUCUGGCAGCAUCUGGAAACAUCUGGCUGCCCUUGCCCAGCUCCAGGGGGGAGCACUCAGGGCACUGGAUGUGGCUGGGGAAGCUCCUCAGCACCAGGAGAAAGGGAAAGGACUGGGCUUUGAAAGAUCCUUGUGCUCAGAUUUGGUGCCAAAAGAAAUCCUGAGCUGUUUCAGGGCAUUGCAGCUCAUUCUGGACUUCCUGGGGGAGCUGAGGAGAUUUCUGGAAGGGUCUGGUGACUGGCAGUGUCAGAUCCAUAGAAAAGGAGGCAGUGCCCAUCAAGCUGGAACAACAGGACACACAGUCCUUGAGGGGUUUAUUGCCUUGCUGGCUCAUUGCUCCUGUACCCAUUUGUGAUCUUACAGAGCAUAUUUAAAUGAAAAUCCUCUUCCAAUGAAUAAAAAACAAAUCCAAGGGAAAAUAUGUUCAAAUUGUAGCAGCUAUUGCUUUUGUUUCUAUAAAACUUAAUUCUCACCUUGGGCUGUUAGAGCAGAUUGUUUUGAGGCUUAUAAAACUUAAUUCUCACCUUGGGCUGUUAGCGCAGACUGUUUUGAGGCCGUGGUGGACAGAUUUACUGGGAGGAAUCUGGAGGUCAGGCAGAGUUUUGAUGUUGCAGUGAGAGCCUUGGUUAGAGCAGAUUGUUUUGAGGCUGUGGUGGACAGAUUUACUGGGAGGAAUCUGGAGGUGAGGCAGAGCUUUGAUGUUGCAGUGAGAGCCUGAGUGAUUGCAGGGAGUCUGCACAGACCCCAUGGAGAGCCUGAAGGUCCUGGAAGGACCCAGUGAGCCCUGCACAGAGAGGAAAAUGCCUGGUUACAACCUCGUUACUUAAUUCUGGAGUGGGGACAGCAAAGAUCAAGACACAGGAAAGGCUGGGAAGGAUUGUUUAAAGCUAAGCUAAUGACAGUAAAAAAGCACAUGUGGAAGGUAAUAAAAGUGAUGGGAUGGGCUGCCAUUUCACUGAGCACUUUAUGCUGAUGUUAGCUAAUAAAACAGCAGAGCUUUGGUAACUGAGCUCCUCUGUGCAUUCCGCCCUCCCUUCAGUUAUUUAAUUCCUCUUCAAAAAUAUUCAAUCCUUAUUUUUAAGGGCAAGAUUGCAUCAAGUGAUUAUCUGCAAACCCAAGGAGGUGAGAGGUAUUGUUGAGAUGAAGGAUAUUUCAUCCUUGCAGGUAUUUUGUCAGUUAAACUGCAGAGGAACAUGGAAAACAGAUAUUCAGGAUGCUGAGAAUGUUCCCACCAUGUUUCUGCUGUAAUUACAGCUGGGGGAUGGCAAGAGCACGUAGGUGAUGCAGCUGUCACCAUGAUACAGGGUUUAAAUUGGGUUUAAAUUGGGAGCAACUCUCAUUCUGCUACAUAAAAAUAUUCUGUUCACUUGCAUUCUAGCAUUGUCCUUAG